AUCUCCAUCAAUCUCAUAUCCAAAGAAAAAAAUAAAUUAAAAAUUUCCAAAACACAAGAAAGGAUUCUAACGCAGAAAUUAAAAAAAAAAUACAUAACUCAUAUAUAAAGAGGCUAAAAGAUCUUUACUCAGAAUGGUGCGGAACAGGGAAAAGGGUGAACUUCAUGUUGUGGUUGGUGCAAUAAUCACCAUCAUGCUCGCCCGACGCAAAGAAGUCGCAGUUCAUAUAACUCCAUGGAUCUUGGAACAAAUAUACAUUGUUCCUUCGCUUGGCCGAUUUAUCGUACUUGAAAACUGCACCAUGUCAAAAGAUGAUUCAUUAACGCCGAUUCAAUGAUUUACCAUAGAAAAUAAGAUCCUCCCACUACGAUGUUCCUUGGCGCUUCACUGUCCGAACCGGAGCUCGAACAGGGUGCUUCACUGUCCGUUCCUGAACUGUUUGGCGCUUCACUGUCAUUAUGGUUCGAAUCCCAACUCCAGCUCCAGCCCGACCUA